AAGAAGACUAAUAUAGAAAGGUUUGUCUUUUCAGAAGAGACCUAUAGAACAAUGAGAACUAAAUCCUGUCACAGGCUGUGAUGCCUGCUUUAAUAGAGUAGCACUACAUAAACAGAAUGACAGCAGGAGCAGCAACAGCUAUAAGUAGGAGUCUAUAUCUUAGGCUGUAUCACCCAGUAUUACAGAAAUAGUUUCAUACAGCUGCUAAUAUUGUCAGUUUGGUUACAGCAGGUAGUCUUUCUCAAACUGAGGACUGCAGAGGAAGUAGAAACCACUAUGCAUCAACUUCAG
rnacentral:lncRNA from 1 species